rnacentral:rRNA from 1 species
AACAGGAUUAGAUACCCUGGUAGUCCACGCCGUAAACGAUGUCGACUUGGAGGUUGUGCCCCUUGAGGCGUGGCUUCCGGAGCUAACGCGUUAAGUCGACCGCCUGGGGAGUACGGCCGCAAGGUUAAAACUCAAAUGAAUUGACGGGGGCCCGCACAAGCGGUGGAGCAUGUGGUUUAAUUCGAUGCAACGCGAAGAACCUUACCUGGCCUUGACAUCCAGAGAACUUAGCAGAGAUGCUUUGGUGCCUUCGGGAACUCUGAGACAGGUGCUGCAUGGCUGUCGUCAGCUCGUGUUGUGAAAUGUUGGGUUAAGUCCCGCAACGAGCGCAACCCUUAUCCUUUGUUGCCAGCGGUUCGGCCGGGAACUCAAAGGAGACUGCCGGUGAUAAACCGGAGGAAGGUGGGGAUGACGUCAAGUCAUCAUGGCCCUUACGGCCAGGGCUACACACGUGCUACAAUGGCGCAUACAAAGAGAAGCGACCUCGCGAGAGCAAGCGGACCUCAUAAAGUGCGUCGUAGUCCGGAUUGGAGUCUGCAACUCGACUCCAUGAAGUCGGAAUCGCUAGUAAUCGUAGAUCAGAAUGCUACGGUGAAUACGUUCCCGGGCCUUGUACACACCGCCCGUCACACCAUGGGAGUGGGUUGCAAAAGAAGUAGGUAGCUUAACCUUCGGGAGGGCGCUUACCACUUUGUGAUUCAUGACUGGGGUGAAGUCGUAACAAGGUAACC